GACGAACGCUGGCGGCGUGCUUAACACAUGCAAGUCGAACGGAAAGGCCCUGCUUUGGUGGGGUGCUCGAGUGGCGAACGGGUGAGUAACACGUGAGUAACCUGCCCUUGACUUUGGGAUAACUUCAGGAAACUGGGGCUAAUACCUGAUAGGAGCUCCUGCUGCAUGGUGGGGGUUGGAAAGUUUCGGCGGUUGGGGAUGGACUCGCGGCUUAUCAGCUUGUUGGUGGGGUAGUGGCUUACCAAGGCUUUGACGGGUAGCCGGCCUGAGAGGGUGACCGGCCACAUUGGGACUGAGAUACGGCCCAGACUCCUACGGGAGGCAGCAGUGGGGAAUGUUGCACAAUGGGCGGAAGCCUGAUGCAGCAACGCCGCGUGCGGGAUGACGGCCUUCGGGUUGUAAACCGCUUUCGCCUGUGACGAAGCGUGAGUGACGGUAAUGGGUAAAGAAGCACCGGCUAACUACGUG
rnacentral:rRNA from 1 species